rnacentral:rRNA from 1 species
UAGGGAAUAUUGCUUAAUGGGCGAAAGCCUGAAGCAGCAACGCCGCGUGUGUGAAGAAGGCCUUCGGGUUGUAAAACACUUUUUGAGGGAAUGAGGAAGGACAGUACCCUCAGAAUAAGCCUCGGCUAACUACGUGCCAGCAGCCGCGGUAAAACGUAGGAGGCGAGCGUUAUCCGGAUUUACUGGGCGUAAAGCGCGUGCAGGCGGCACGGCAAGUUGGAUGUGAAAGCUGCCGGCUUAACUGGGAGAGGUCGUUCAAAACUGCCGAGCUAGAGUGCGGGAGAGGGGGGUGGAAUUCCGGGUGUAGUGGUGAAAUGCGUAGAUAUCCGGAGGAACACCAGUGGCGAAAGCGGCCUCCUGGUCCGCAACUGACGCUCAGACGCGAGAGCUAGGGUAGCAAACGG